CCAAUAGCGUAUAUUAAAGUUGUUGCAGUUAAAAAGCUCGUAGUUGAAUUUUAGGCCUGGCCGGAUGGUCCGUCUUUGGCGAGUACUGUUCUGUCGUCGGGUCUAUCCUUCUGGUGAGCCGGGAUGCCCUUUAUUGGGUGUGUCGGGGAACCAGGACCAUUACCUUGAAAAAAUUAGAGUGUUUAAAGCGGGCAUUUGCUUGAAUAGAUUAGCAUGGAAUAAUAGAAUAGGAUGUUGGUUCUAUUUUGUUGGUUUUAGGAACACCGUAAUGAUUAAUAGGGAUAGUUGGGGGCAUUAGUAUUCAAUUGUCAGAGGUGAAAUUCUUGGAUUUAUUGAAGACUAACUAUUGCGAAAGCAUUUGCCAAGGAUGUUUUCAUUAAUCAAGAACGAAAGUUAGGGGAUCGAAGACGAUCAGAUACCGUCGUAGUCUUAACCAUAAACUAUGCCGACUAGGAAUCGGGCGACGUUAUUUCAUGACUCGCUCGGCGCCUUAUG
rnacentral:misc_RNA from 1 species